AUUGAACGCUGGCGGCAGGCUUAACACAUGCAAGUCGGGCGGGGGAAGGUAGCUUGCUACCGGACCUAGCGGCGGACGGGUGAGUAACGCUUAGGAAUCUGCCUAUUAGUGGGGGACAACAUCUCGAAAGGGAUGCUAAUACCGCAUACGUCCUACGGGAGAAAGCAGGGGAUCUUCGGACCUUGCGCUAAUAGAUGAGCCUAAGUCGGAUAGCUAGUUGGUGGGGUAAAGGCCUACCAAGGCGACGAUCUGUAGCGGGUCUGAGAGGAUGAUCCGCCACACUGGGACUGAGACACGGCCCAGACUCCUACGGGAGGCAGCAGUGGGGAAUAUUGGACAAUAGGGGGAACCCUGAUCCAGCCAUGCCGCGUGUGUGAAGAAGGCCUUAUGGUUGUAAAGCACUUUAAGCGAGGAGGAGGCUACUCUAGUUAAUACCUAGGGAUAGUGGACGUUACUCGCAGAAUAAGCACCGGCUAACUCUGUGCCAGCAGCCGCCGUAA
rnacentral:rRNA from 1 species